CAUAGUUAAAAGGGGAAGAAAAAGGUAACAUUGAAGUUAACAGUUGAAAUAAUUAAGAAGAUUCAUAGUUAAAUGGCCCAUUAUCCAUCAUCUGGCAUCAGUUGUAAAAAAGGGAGAAACGUAACAUUAAGGUUAACAGUUAAAAAGGGAGCAUGAAUAUGUAGACUGAAAAUGUCUGGUAGCAAACAAUGAGAACAUGUUAUUACACAUAGCUUUCAAAACAAUGCUACUGAACAUCUACUUUCAGACUUUAGAUAUGACUGGUUGCUCCUCUAGAAAUAGUGAAGUUGAUACUCUAGAGGCAAAUAAAAUAAUUUAGUUACUUCCUAGGUUUGC
rnacentral:lncRNA from 1 species